rnacentral:rRNA from 1 species
UACAGAGGAUGCAAGCGUUAUCCGGAAUGAUUGGGCGUAAAGGGUCUGUAGGUGGCUUUUUAAGUCCGCCGUCAAAUCCCAGGGCUCAACUCUGGACAGGCGGUGGAAACUACCAAGCUGGAGUACGGUAGGGGCAGAGGGAAUUUCCGGUGGAGCGGUGAAAUGCGUAGAUAUCAGGAGGAACACCGGUGGUGUAGACGGCUUUCUGGACCGUAACUGACGCUGAGACACGAAAGCGUGGGUAGCAAACAGG